rnacentral:rRNA from 1 species
UGGGGAAUAUUGCACAAUGGGCGCAAGCCUGAUGCAGCAACGCCGCGUGAACGAUGAAGGUCUUCGGAUCGUAAAGUUCUGUUGCAGGGGAAGAUAAUGACGGUACCCUGUGAGGAAGCCCCGGCUAACUACGUGCCAGCAGCUGCGGUAAUACGUAGGUGGCAAGCGUUGUCCGGAAUUAUUGGGCGUAAAGCGCGCGCAGGUGGUUUAGAAAGUCUGAUGUGAAAGCCCACGGCUCAACCGUGGAGGGUCAUUGGAAACUAAUAAACUUGAGUGCAGGAGAGAAAAGUAGAAUUCCUAGUGUAGCGGUGAAAUGCGUAGAGAUUAGGAGGAACACCGGUGGCGAAAGCGGCUUUUUGGCCUGAAACUGACACUGAGGCGCGAAAGCGUGGGGAGCAAACAGG